rnacentral:rRNA from 1 species
GACAGAGGGGGCAAGCGUUGCUCGGAAUUACUGGGCGUAAAGGGCGCGUAGGCGGAAUGGCAAGUCGGUCGUGAAAUCCUUCGGCUCAACCGAAGAACGUCGAUCGAAACUGCCGUUCUUGAGGAUUGCAGAGGAGACUGGAAUUCUCGGUGUAGCGGUGAAAUGUGUAGAGAUCGGGAGGAACACCGGUGGUGAAGGCGGGUCUCUGGGCAAUUCCUGACGCUGAGGCGCGAAAGCGUGGGGAGCAAACGGG